CACGUAAGGGGCGAGCGUUGUUCGGAAUUAUUGGGCGUAAAGGGCACGCAGGCGGCCCAACAAGUCUGAUGUGAAAUCCCCGGGCUUAACUCGGGAGACGCGUUGGAAACUGUUGAGCUAGAGUAUUAGAGGGGGAGUCGGAAUUCCUAGUGUAGGGGUGAAAUCUGUUGAUAUUAGGAAGAACACCGGUGGCGAAGGCGGACUCCUGGCUGAAUACUGACGCUGAGGUGCGAAAGCAUAGGGAGCAAACAGG
rnacentral:rRNA from 1 species